GGGUCCGGACACACUGAGGAUUGACAGAUAUACGCUCAUUGCUGCGUGCUUCGGCGCGUGCUUUGAGCUGAAAGAUGCUAGUUCUUUCAUGAUUAUGUGAUAGGUGGUGCAUGGCCGUUCUUAGUUCGUGGAGUGAUCUGUCUGCUUAAUUGCGUAUCAAUAAUAGAGACCUAGUAUACGCGUGGAUUUCGCGUGAUAGUGACCCCCUGUUUAACGACAGGCGUGUGUCGCACACGCGUACCUACGCACUGGUCUCAGAUAGCAACGAACGUGACCGUAUUCUAUUGUUGCAGUGAAAUGUGCCUUCUGGGUACGACCCACUGCUUAGUAUAUGUACGUGCUUCGGCGCGAACAAUAUACAUUAAACUAUAGAGACCGCUGUUUCUUCUUUAAACCAGAGGAAGGAUACGGCAAUAACAGGUCUGUGAUGCCCUCAGAUGUUCCGGGCUGCACACGUGCUACAAUGAUCAUUGCACUGUGCAUCUAACCCAAUGUGCGUGGACGCCGCAUGCAUGUGCCUUCGGGUACACGCAUUGCUGUUGCGACCACGCCGAACCUACUUCGAAAGUAAAAUUUCUCAGUGGGU
rnacentral:rRNA from 1 species